GUUGAAACAUGCCGUGUCUUUAAACGGACAACUACUGAAAAGUUGCACGCAGCUUUGAUGUCUUCAUCCCAGACUGAUAAAAUUGAACAUGUGGAAGAUAAUGAACGGGGGAAUGGUGGAUCUGAUGUUCCUCAACAAAAGCAGGUUAACCAAAAAAGCAUAAAAGCUACUAAUUCUACUAAAAAAGGGAACGAUCGUGCAAAGUCACCAACACUUAAAGUGGUUCUUGGGGAGGCACUAGGCUAUGGCCCAGCACUUUCUGAACACAUUAUUCUAGAUGCUGGCUUGGUUCCAAAUACAAAGAUUGACGCAGAUUUUACAUUAGAAGGC
rnacentral:misc_RNA from 1 species